rnacentral:rRNA from 1 species
UACGGGGGGGGUAAGCGUUGUUCGGAAUUACUGGGCGUAAAGGGCGCGUAGGCGGCCCUCUAAGUCGAACGUGAAAUCCCUGGGCUCAACCCAGGAACUGCGUCCGAGACUGGGGGGCUAGAAUCCGGGAGAGGGAUGUGGAAUUCCAGGUGUAGCGGUGAAAUGCGUAGAUAUCUGGAGGAACAUCGGUGGCGAAGGCGGCAUCCUGGACCGGUAUUGACGCUGAGGCGCGAAAGCCAGGGGAGCCAAACGGGG